rnacentral:sRNA from 1 species
GCGUCCCUAACUCAAGGGAGUAAGAANGGGGAGUGUAGCAAUAUACUCCAAGUGGCGAACUUGUCAGUAACGCGUAGACAACCUACCUUCUAGAUGGGGACAACACCGCGAAAGUGGUGCUAAUACCGAAUGUUGUAUCUUUGGCCCAUGCUGAAGAUACUAAAGGUGGCCUCUUAGCAAUGCUACCGCUAGAAGACGGGUCUGCGUCUGAUUAGCUAGUAGGCGGGGUAAAAGCCCGCCUAGGCGACGAUCAGUAGCCGGUCUGAGAGGAUGAACGGCCACACUGGGACUGAGACACGGCCCAGAC